rnacentral:rRNA from 1 species
CAGUAGCCGCGGUAAUACGAAGGGUGCAAGCGUUACUCGGAAUUACUGGGCGUAAAGCGUGUGUAGGUGGUUGUUUAAGUCUGUCGUGAAAGCCCUGGGCUCAACCUGGGAAUUGCGAUGGAUACUGGGCGACUAGAGUGCGGUAGAGGAUAGUGGAAUUUCCGGUGUAGCAGUGAAAUGCAUAGAGAUCGGAAGGAACAUCUGUGGCGAAGGCGACUAUCUGGGCCAACACUGACACUGAGACACGAAAGCGUGGGGAGCAAACAGGAUUAGAUACCCGAGUAGUCCCUGUCUCUUAUAA